AGAUUCGUAACAAUACAUUAGAAUGUAACUAGUGAAAUUAUAUGCACCUUUACUUUAGGGUUUUCCUCUUCAUAUGAAUCUGGCUGUGCCUGGGAUCAAGCCGAACAUGUCUGGUAAAGAGCCCACUGCACAGAAUAUAAAAGAACAAAACAGAAGCUUGUUAGAGGAGCUGAACCAAAAGAAAGAAAUAAUAAGCCAACUUGAAAAGGAAAAGUCAACUCUUGUUCGUGAAUUGUUUGAAGCUCGCUCCAAAAACAAGUCCAGCUUUGACGACACAACCUUUAUGUAGCGGUCUGACUCUCAUAUUUUAUUGUUUUUUUUACUAUCUAUUGCUACCUUUAUUUUCUGUACUACCCUUUAGCUUAAUUUAAUGCCUUUAAACUAUUUGUGAUAAGAUUUGCUCUGCAUCCAAAAUGCUGUAUUUAUUUUGCUAUGUUAAUGUUGCUUCCUGUGUGUUCCAAAGAUAUUUGUCUUUUAAAUAAUUUCCAAAGAUAUUUAUCUUUUAAAAGGUUUUGUAUAUUUUAUGUGACACCACCAUUGUUCAGUCGUUGGCAAGUCUAGUUGAUUAAUUAUGUAAUCACCCUUAAGCAUUCAAAGGUCUUGAAGACCAACUUUACGAUAUACCAUUCGUCAAUUAAAUUUGUUAAAGGCAAUAGCGAGGAAUAUUACAAGUCCAUAAAAGGCAUUUACAAUACAACUAAGCCAGCAAAAUGAAAAGUUAUUUCCUUGUUUUCAAUUCUUAUUAUUAGCUCAACAUUCUUCCUAAAUUAGCUCAACAUUCUACCUAAAUUAGCUCAACAUUCUUCCUAGUCAAAAACAAAUAGGGGCAGAUGGACCAAAAAUUGGAAAGUGGUAAAAAGAACAAGACAAAAAUUAUGUCAUUCAUUUUUAUACAAAUUUAGCACAUAGUAGUAUAGCUAGAUAGCCAAGUUGAUAGUCACUUUAAUAAGUGAAUGUCGUGGGAUCUAUCUUACUAUAUUACUUAAACAUAAAGUAGAAAUUGUUUUGUUUUUUAAAUUUAUAAUAUAAAAUAUAUAAAGCUUAUAACACUUGUUUUAGACAUUAAAUUUCUUUGGCCAAUAUUAUUGAUGCAUCAGGAAGUGGUUUUUGAGAGCUGCUGAGUGAUGCUUACAAGGAAUGGUCCAUGUAAAACUUGCCAUAGUUGUUAGUACAGAACAACAGCAUUACUGCAAUAGUGCAAUAUUCAGAAGAAAAAGAUCAGAGGUGUACUUUUGAAAUGAUUUUUCAUAAACCAUAAGUCUACAAGAAUUAAAUAAGCAGUCUACUAAUUUUGUUUAAAAAAAACUGCUUAUAAAUUAUUUUUUUUCCAUGUAUUCAUUCAUCAUUCACAGGCUUUGUUGCUUUAUUUAUAAUGGGUGUUUCUAAGUAUCUUGUUCUAAAUCUGUAGUGCUAGGGUCAUGGAGAGUACACUCUAGUAGACAUUGUAUUAUAUGCACUUUUUUUUAUUGGUUAUGAGAUCAGUGUGAUCUGACUGAGGUACAGCUGAAGAGUGAACUAAAAAUCCAAAUUAUGUACACAAUUACUGUCAUCAAUAAUACACUUUUUCAUUGUUUCUCCAUUUUGAAUUUAGGCUCUAAUCUGUUGCAUAUGUUUUCGAUCAAGUUGUCAUUAAACUAAGAAAGAUUCUACCAUAGUUGGGUGAUCUUAAUUUCACCAUUAUUGAAAUAUAAAUUUGAGUUCAAGAACUUUGACUUUCACAUAUCAGCCACAUGUAUCAUUAAUGUAUAUAUAUUUUAAUGGUUUGCUGUGUAACUAUAAUAAUAGUUUGUAAUAUAACAGUAGGUAAAAGGUAUUUUUCUCUGUCAGUAUUUGAGAUAUUACCUUUGUUUUUGUUUUUUUAUUAAAAAUUAAAGCUAAAAAAUAGUGCUGUAGCCAGUAAUAUUUUUCUGUGUUGUUAUAAAAUUAUUAUAACUAUUUAGUUGAUAUAGUUUACCAAUAAUUUUCUUUUUCUAAAAAAAGACUGGAAAAAUGUAAAAGGACAGUACCUUCUCAUCUAUUUAAUUUCAAGCAAUGUAGUGUAUAUUGAAAAAUAAAUAAGAACUUACUUUGCCCUUGUUAAAUUCUAAUUGUUUUGGUGAAUAGUCAAACGGUGGUCUGAUUAAUUAAGAUCUGCUUGUAUUGUUUCUUACUAACUUAAAGGUAAGGCCUCAUAAAAAUCUCUUAUCAGAAAACAUGUUUAACUUUGUGUCAUACUGUGGUACAUUAUCUAACAUUGCCUCAAUGUUUCUGGUGUAGGCCUAGAGCAUUAUUGAAAUAAAAAAAAAUUAAGAAUAGCUUUUACUCAUCUGUUAUGCCUGAUAUCUUAACUUGUAUUAACUUAAGGUGAGCAGAAUACGUUUUUCUGAUACACUUAAGACAGGAGUGACCCCGAAGUUGAAAUUAAUUAUAUGGCUUACUCACAAUGUAUCUUCCUGAGCACUGAGUUCCUGUAUUAAGUCCUUCAAAGCCACAGACACUUGGAUGCAUUUCUUCUUGAAUGUACAUAAUUGCUUACUCAUAACAUUUAUUCGUGUUCAGUGUUUCUCUGCCAAAGCUUUUCAUUUCUUCCUAUUUCUUUUUAUCCAUUGAUGUCAGUUGUGCUAUAUAUCUUUUUCUAAUUGUGAUAAGUGCUUGGAUAGUUUACAUUUGUUACAGUAAAUACAAUGUAUUGAUCACAUUAAUGUGUUCACAUCAACCUUCUAUACUAAGUUAUAUAUUUGAUAACCAUGAAUGCUGAGUUUAGCUGGAUUUAUGACUUUGUGCUUGGGAGAAACAAAGAAUUGAAAGUAUCUUGUUUAAACAUCUUUAGAUACAUUUGAAUUUUCAGAAUAUCCUAUGCCAUUUUGUUUUUAAAUCAUUAUUUUGGCCUUGCUUGUUUUUUAAGAGAAACAAAGUUCUAUAACCUAAGCACACUCAGGAUAAGAAGAAUUACUUCUCCCAAAGUGUUUAUGGCUCUAGCCUAAAAUAUUCUAAACCUAUUUCGAUCAUGUUCUGCAUAUAAUUUCUUUUAUUAUGUUCUUUCGCCCUUAUUUUUUAAACCUUUUCAAUCUUGCAAAUAUUGAAAGCUUAUUAUUCUUAUAAAUUUGAUACUGAGAUAUUUUGUUGCUUUAUUUGUUGUGUUGUAGAGUCUUAUGUUGUGUAACCCUAAAUAAAACUAUAUGUAAGAGUGUAUAAAGGGCUACCCUCAGCCCCCCUGGAUGUCAAAAGUGGUCAUCAUCGAACCACGAUGGACGAACUAUUAUUAUUAUAUAGGGUUACUUCACUUCAUAGUAAGGUUCCUGUGCUAAACUUGUUUUGCUGGUCAACUUAUUUCUAUACUUUUAACAAUGUGGCUCUAAGGUAUGUGUCUCACCAUGUCUGAGCAUAGUGCUAUCUUAUUGCAUUGUUCUUUCAGAACAUCCAGGGACUUAACCUAGUUGUUCUCAACCUUGUUCUCAAACACCCUUUAUGCAAUCUCUUUCCUGGAAAGUAUUUUGUGCAAUUAUAAAACAUCUUUUUUUUUUUUCCCCUUUAACUGGUUAUCUGGGUAUUCCUCAAUCCCAGGAAGAGCAAUGCUUUGCUAAAUAAUCAUGAUGAUUAAUGAUUAUAAAACUAAAUUUUAUUAUAAAACUAACACAAAAGUUUUGAGCCUAUAGUCAACCUGACACAAAAGUUGUGCUCAUAGCCAAACCAGAUACAAAAGCUGUGAGCCCAAAGCCAACUAGACUUAAGUGCUGUCAGAACUACAGUGUCUAUAUACUGUUGAUUGUAAUUAAUCCUCGAGAAAUGCAUUCCAGUGUUUUUUUGUAUUAACUAAACCAUUUGGUGCUAUUCUCAUUUACCUUCACUGAUAUUCAAGAUCUUUGUGUGUGUAUUUUCAAGUGCAGUGUUGACUGAUCAUUUAAAGCCUGAUAAUAUUCUAGCCAUGCUUUUGGUGUGUAGAUUUGUGUUUUCUGAUAAUGGUAUCAUUAAACUUUUGUUUCUGUGCUACUCUUUGCAGCCAUAACAAAAACUGUUUACAUAUAAUUCCAAUGUAAUCAUGAACAUUUAAUAAGGCGUAUCUUGUAAUUGAAAUAAAUAUGUUCUCACCUGUACUCAAACAAGAUAAUUUUGAUCACAUUUCAAACUGAGAUCUUUAAAACUUUUUUUUUGUAACAUUGCAUAACAAGGACAAGUUUACUUGCUGUAUUCACUACAUAAAACAUAAAUGUGCCAAUAGUUGCUAAUAUGCUUGCCACUACAUAUAUGAUUAUAGCAUUGUAACAAACAAUUGUUCAUUUAAUAGCAUCCAGGAGCAAGCCUCCAAUUUACCCUCUUCUGGUGUAGAAAAACAAUAUUACCAAUACCAUUAAAGAAUUCUAAGUUGUGCUCAAACAA
rnacentral:sRNA from 1 species